GUAUGUGUUACCCUACUGUAGAGAGUGGCAAUCAUGUAUAAGUAAAAAUGAUUGACACCUCUGCAAAUGGAGUAAUGCAUGA
rnacentral:pre_miRNA from 1 species